GCGGCGUGCCUAAUACAUGCAAGUAGAACGCUGAAGAGAGGAGCUUGCUCUUCUUGGAUGAGUUGCGAACGGGUGAGUAACGCGUAGGUAACCUGCCUUGUAGCGGGGGAUAACUAUUGGAAACGAUAGCUAAUACCGCAUAACAAUGGAUGACACAUGUCAUUUAUUUGAAAGGGGCAAUUGCUCCACUACAAGAUGGACCUGCGUUGUAUUAGCUAGUAGGUGAGGUAAUGGCUCACCUAGGCGACGAUACAUAGCCGACCUGAGAGGGUGAUCGGCCACACUGGGACUGAGACACGGCCCAGACUCCUACGGGAGGCAGCAGUAGGGAAUCUUCGGCAAUGGGGGCAACCCUGACCGAGCAACGCCGCGUGAGUGAAGAAGGUUUUCGGAUCGUAAAGCUCUGUUGUAAGUCAAGAACGGGUGUGAGAGUGGAAAGUUCACACUAUGACGGUAGCUUACCAGAAAGGGACGGCUAACUACGUGCCAGCAGCCGCGGUAAUACGUAGGUCCCGAGCGUUGUCCGGAUUUAUUGGGCGUAAAGCGAGCGCAGGCGGUUUGAUAAGUCUGAAGUUAAAGGCUGUGGCUCAACCAUAGUUCGCUUUGGAAACUGUCAAACUUGAGUGCAGAAGGGGAGAGUGGAAUUCCAUGUGUAGCGGUGAAAUGCGUAGAUAUAUGGAGGAACACCGGUGGCGAAAGCGGCUCUCUGGUCUGUAACUGACGCUGAGGCUCGAAAGCGUGGGGAGCGAACAGGAUUAGAUACCCUGGUAGUCCACGCCGUAAACGAUGAGUGCUAGGUGUUGGAUCCUUUCCGGGAUUCAGUGCCGCAGCUAACGCAUUAAGCACUCCGCCUGGGGAGUACGACCGCAAGGUUGAAACUCAAAGGAAUUGACGGGGGCCCGCACAAGCGGUGGAGCAUGUGGUUUAAUUCGAAGCAACGCGAAGAACCUUACCAGGUCUUGACAUCCCGAUGCUAUUUCUAGAGAUAGAAAGUUACUUCGGUACAUCGGUGACAGGUGGUGCAUGGUUGUCGUCAGCUCGUGUCGUGAGAUGUUGGGUUAAGUCCCGCAACGAGCGCAACCCCUAUUGUUAGUUGCCAUCAUUCAGUUGGGCACUCUAGCGAGACUGCCGGUAAUAAACCGGAGGAAGGUGGGGAUGACGUCAAAUCAUCAUGCCCCUUAUGACCUGGGCUACACACGUGCUACAAUGGUUGGUACAACGAGUUGCGAGUCGGUGACGGCGAGCUAAUCUCUUAAAGCCAAUCUCAGUUCGGAUUGUAGGCUGCAACUCGCCUACAUGAAGUCGGAAUCGCUAGUAAUCGCGGAUCAGCACGCCGCGGUGAAUACGUUCCCGGGCCUUGUACACACCGCCCGUCACACCACGAGAGUUUGUAACACCCGAAGUCGGUGAGGUAACCUUUUGGAGCCAGCCGCCUAAGGUGGGACAGAUGAUUGGGGUGAAGUCAUAACAA
rnacentral:rRNA from 1 species